GGCCGCACCCAGGCAGGUUUUCAGGCCUGAGGUGCCCGCCCUGGCCCCAGGAGAAUGAACCAGCCGCAGAGGAUGGCGCCUGUGGGCACAGACAAGGAGCUCAGUAACCUCCUAGACUUCAGCAUGAUGUUCCCGCUGCCUGUCACCAACCGGAAGGACCGGUCUGCCUCCCUGGCCGGGGCGCAGUUCGCAGGUUCAGGCAACAGCAGCGAGCGGGGUGCCUAUGCCUCCUUCGGGAGAGACGCAGGCGUGGGCGGCCUGACUCAGGUUGGCUUCCUGUGGGGCGAGCUGGCCCUCAGCAGCCCCGGGCCCCUGUCCCCUUCGGGCAUGAAGAGGACCUCCCAGUACUACCCCUCCUACUCAGGCAGCUCCCGGCGGAGAGCGGCAGACUGCAGCCUAGACACGCAGCCCAAGAAGGUCCGGAAGGUCCCGCGGGGUCUCCGAUUCCCGGUGUACCCGCCCAGCUCAGGUGAGGACUACGGCAGGGAUGCCGCCGCCUACCCAUCCUCCAGGACUCCCAGCAGCGCCUAUCCCGCCCCCUUCUACAUGGCAGAUGGCAGCCUGUACCCCUCAGCCGAGCUCUGGAGUCCCCCGGGCCAGGCGGGCUUCGGGCCCAUGCUGGGUGGGGGCUCAUCCCCCCUGCCCCUCCCGCCCGACAGCGGCCCGGUGGGCAUCAGUGGAAGCAGCAGCACGUUUGCUGGCCUGCACCAGCACGAGCGCAUGGGCUACCAGCUGCACGGAGCAGAGGUGAACGGUGGGCUCCCGGCUGCAUCCUCCUUCUCCUCGGCCCCGGAGCCACAUACGGUGGCGUCUCCAGCCACACUCCGCCUGUCAGCGGCGCCGACAGCCUCCUGGGCUCCCGAGGGACCACAGCCGGCAGCUCCGGGGAUGCCCUCGGGAAAGCACUGGCUUCGAUCUACUCGCCGGAUCACUCAAGCAAUAACUUCUCGUCCAGCCCUUCCACCCCGGUGGGCUCCCCUCAGGGCCUGGCAGGGAGGUCGCAGUGGACUCCAGCAGAAGCCCCGGGUGCCUUAUCGCCCACCUACGACGGGAAUCUCCACGGCCUGCAGAGUAAGAUAGACCACCACCUGGACGAGGCCAUCCACGUGCUCCGCAGCCACGCCGUGGGCACAGUUGGCGACAUGCACACGCUGCUACCUGGCCACCGGGUGCUGGCCUCGGGUUUCGCCAGCCCCAUGUCGCUGGGCGCGCGGCACGCAGGCCUUGUUGGAGGCAGACAUCCCGAGGAUGGCCUUGCAGGCAGCACCAGCCUCACGCACAACCACGCGGCCCUCCCCAGCCAGCCAGGCGUCCUCCCCGACCUCUCUCGGCCUCCCGACUCUUAUAGUGGGCUAGGACGAGCAGGUGCCACAGCCGCUGCUGGCGAGAUCAAGCGGGAGGAGGAGGAGGAUGAGGAGAACACGUCGGCGGCUGACCACUCAGAGGAGGAGGAGGAGGAGCUGAAGGCCCCCCCUGCCCGGACCAGCCCAGACGAGGACAAGGACGACCUUCUCCCCCCAGAGCAGAAGGCGGAGCGGGAGAAGGAGCGCCCGACGGCCAAUAACGCCCGGGAGUGGCUGCGGGUCCGUGACAUCAAGGAGGCCUUUAAGGAGCUGGGGCGCAUGUGCCAGCUGCACCUCAACAGCGAGAAGCCCCAGACCAAACUGCUCAUGCUGCACCAGGCCGUCUGGGUCAUCCCGAACUUGGAGCAGCAAGUGCCAGAGUGGAACCUGAAUCCCAAAGCAGCCUGUUUGAAACAGCGAGAAGAGGAAAAGGUGUUGGGCGUGGUCGGAGACCCCCAGAUGGUGUUUUCAGCUGCCCACCCCGGUCUGAGCGAAACCCACAACCCUGCCGGGCACAUGUGA